GCGGCGGCGUCCUGGAGGGCCCGGAGGCGGCGGCGUCCACCUGGCGGCGGCGUCCUGGAGGGCCCGGAGGCGGCGGCUCCUCAUCCAAAGAAAUGAGGCGACGUUGCGGAGGUCCUGGCGGUCGGCCCGGUGGAGGUCCUGGAGGAGACGGUCCCGGCGGUGGAGGUCCAGGCGGUCGGCCCGGUGGAGGUCCAGGCGGUCGGCCCGGUGGAGGUCCUGGAGGAGACGGUCCCGGCGGUGGAGGUCCAGGCGGUCGGCCCGGUGGAGGUCCUGGAGGAGACGGUCCCGGCGGUGGAGGACGGCUGGGGGGUCCGGCGGUGGAGGUCCGAAGGCGGCUCGUGAUUAGACCAACCAGCUCCUCAUCCAUGGAAGGAUUGAAGGAGUCACUGGGGAUGAAGAUCACUGCUCAGGGGCUGACGACCACUCAUCUUUCCGGAGAAGCGUCCUCAUGGUGCAGGCGGUCAAACCUCCACCUCUUUGAAGAGACCAAGCAGCUUGAUGACUGACUGACUGGUUCUUUAUACUCAAGACCUCGUCCCAGAGCAGAGGACGGACCUAAGGCCCGCAGCGCAGCCGACUAGAGACUCCAUGUGGAACCGAGAAUAAGAUCUGACUUCAGCCAAUCAGCGGGAUGUCCUUGAACAAGAGCCAAUGGCUGAAGGUUCAAUUAAGUUGACCUCUCCUUCAGGCGACUUAAAGGGAGACCAGAUGUGCGGCAGCUGGGUGUCAUGGUGCAGAGACCCAACGCUGUACUGAACUACACCAGUGUGUCCUACUCCCAUAAACCCUGAGGAUCCCUGGAUGGCUACACCAGCACAUUAAUCCACACCCAACAUCAACACACAGUGCACACUCUAUAGAGCUCGUAAGUCCGCCCCUUGCGGCGGGACCUCGUGAGAUCGUAAGAUAUGACUGGGUUUCAAUGGAGAGAAAGUAAUUAUUUUCUCCAUUUUAUGUUGCACCACAUUUUGGGGGAAGAAUGUUUGAAUCAAUCUUUGUCAUUUAUUUCUGUACUCCACAUCUGUAAUCCCAGCUGUUGUAUUUUAACACGGUAGCUGGGAACCCUCUUUAUAGGGAGCGACUAGAGGGACGAGGCUGGAAGCAAACCUGAGCCUGGAUCUUAACCUUCUUUCUAAACCUAAUGCCGCAAUUUAACCGCAAAUAAAGUGAGGCCUAAAGUAACUUGACUCUCUUACCUAAACUUGCUUGCCUAUACUCGCUUGUCUAAACUCGCUUGCAUAAAACCUAAACUCGCUUGCAUAAAACCUGAACUUGCUUGGCUAAACUCGCGUCGCUUGCCUAAUACCUGAACUUGACUAAACUCGCUUGCCUAAUACCUGAACUCGCUUGCCUGAACUCGCUUGCCUGAACUCGCUUGCCUGAACUCGCUUGCCUGAACUCGCUUGCCUGAACUUGCUUGCCUGAACUCGCUUGCCUAAACUCGCUUGCAUAAAACCUAAACUCGCUUGCAUAAAACCUAAACUCGCUUAGCUUGACUCGCUUGCCUGUACUCGCUUGGCUAAACUCGCUUGCCUAAUACCUGAAGUCGCUUGCCUAAUACCUGAAGUCGCUUGCCUAAUACCUGAAGUCGCUUGCCUAAUACCUGAAGUCGCUUGCCUAAAACCUAAAC